UACGUAGGGGGCAAGCGUUGUCCGGAAUCAUUGGGCGUAAAGAGCGUGUAGGCGGCCCGAUAAGUCCGCCGUGAAAGUCCAGGGCUCAACCCUGGAAUGCCGGUGGAAACUGUCGGGCUGGAGUCCGGAAGAGGCGAGUGGAAUUCCUGGUGUAGCGGUGAAAUGCGCAGAUAUCAGGAGGAACACCAAUGGCGAAGGCGGGUCUCUGGGCCGAUACUGACGCUGAGGAGCGAAAGCGUGGGGAGCGAACAGG
rnacentral:rRNA from 1 species